UGGGGAAUUUUGGACAAUGGGCGAAAGCCUGAUCCAGCAAUGCCGCGUGUGUGAAGAAGGCCUUCGGGUUGUAAAGCACUUUUGUCCGGAAAGAAAUCCUUGGCUCUAAUACAGUCGGGGGAUGACGGUACCGGAAGAAUAAGCACCGGCUAACUACGUGCCAGCAGCCGCGGUAAUACGUAGGGUGCAAGCGUUAAUCGGAAUUACUGGGCGUAAAGCGUGCGCAGGCGGUUUGCUAAGACCGAUGUGAAAUCCCCGGGCUCAACCUGGGAACUGCAUUGGUGACUGGCAGGCUAGAGUAUGGCAGAGGGGGGUAGAAUUCCACGUGUAGCAGUGAAGUGCGUAGAGAUGUGGAGGAAUACCGAUGGCGAAGGCAGCCCCCUGGGCCAAUACUGACGCUCAUGCACGAAAGCGUGGGGAGCAAACAGGAUUAGAUACCCUGGUAGUCCACGCCCUAAACGAUGUCAACUAGUUGUUGGGGAUUCAUUUCCUUAGUAACGUAGCUAACGCGUGAAGUUGACCGCCUGGGGAGUACGGUCGCAAGAUUAAAACUUAAAGGAAUUGAC
rnacentral:rRNA from 1 species